GACGAACGCUGGCGGCGUGCCUAAUACAUGCAAGUAGAACGCACAGUUUAUACCGUAGCUUGCUACACCAUAGACUGUGAGUUGCGAACGGGUGAGUAACGCGUAGGUAACCUGCCUGGUAGCGGGGGAUAACUAUUGGAAACGAUAGCUAAUACCGCAUAAUAUUGAUUAUUGCAUGAUAAUUGAUUGAAAGAUGCUAUUGCAUCACUACCAGAUGGACCUGCGUUGUAUUAGCUAGUAGGUGAGGUAACGGCUCACCUAGGCGACGAUACAUAGCCGACCUGAGAGGGUGAUCGGCCACACUGGGACUGAGACACGGCCCAGACUCCUACGGGAGGCAGCAGUAGGGAAUCUUCGGCAAUGGACGAAAGUCUGACCGAGAAACGCCGCGUGAGUGAAGAAGGUUUUCGGAUCGUAAAGCUCGGUUGUAAGAGAAGAACGGGUGUGAGAGUGGAAAGUUCACACUGUGACGGUAUCUUACCAGAAAGGGACGGCUAACUACGUG
rnacentral:rRNA from 1 species